CGCAUAUCGACACAAAAAAACAGCCUCCGUUGUCUCGUAUCCCGAGUUUCAGACGCGUGUGAAUACCAGGGGCCCUAUUCUUCAAAUCAUGCGAUUAAUUUUUGUAUACGACGAGACGAAUUAAUCGAUCGCGCGAAAGCGGUUAGGACAGAAACGAUUUCAAGUUAACUUCGUAUACGCGCGUUCGGCGCUUCCUUCGCGUGUGCCAAUAAUCGAGCGACACGGCGAUGUGGUUUAAAGAACAGACCUUGUCCUGCAUCCUGCGUUCAUUUCUCGCCAUCUUCCACUUCGUGUGUUGCUAGAGAAGCGUGAGGAGGCACGAUGUCGGCUCACAAGACGUUUAUCAUUAAGCGAAAGCUUGCGAAAAAGUUAAAGCAAAACAGGCCGAUUCCUCAAUGGGUGAGAAUGCGGACCGGCAAUACUAUCCGAUACAAUGCCAAGAGGCGUCACUGGAGGAGAACUAAGCUAAAGUUGUAAAGCAAAUAAUUACAUACUUGCAGAUGAUAAAUAAAGAUAUCACUUCUUUGUAAGGAAUAAAAUCAAUCAUUUUCUUCUGACAUCAAUAUGACUGUAUACAGUGUCUAUUCCUAUACAAAUAACAUACAGCUUUAUGUUAUUAUUACAUCAACAAUGUAUAAUUUCAAAUAAAAUCAGGUAUAUCAAAAAAA